UACGGAGGGAGCUAGCGUUGUUCGGAAAUACUGGGCGUAAAGCGCACGUAGGCGGCGCAGCAAGUCAGGGGUGAAAUCCCGGGGCUCAACCCCGGAACUGCCCUUGAAACUGCAGUGCUAGAAUUCUGGAGAGGCGAGUGGAAUUCCGAGUGUAGAGGUGAAAUUCGUAGAUAUUCGGAAGAACACCAGUGGCGAAGGCGACUCGCUGGACAGACAUUGACGCUGAUGCGCGACAGCGUGGGGAGCAAACGAGG
rnacentral:rRNA from 1 species